ensembl:lncRNA
CGGUGAUAUACAAUUUAAUAUGCACAAAAAUACAAGAAUACCAACAAAAUAUGGAGAAUACGUCUGAAAACGUCUUUAAUUCAGUACACAUAGUGCUUAUAUAAUGUGAGGACGUAUGGCUAAUUUAUGAAAUUGCCUUUUUAUAACAAAAGGUCUGAGUUUGUAGAAAAUAAAAUCAAACCCACAAAACCAAGCUAAUGCUGGCAUCAUGAAUUACUGUGAAGGCUUAAACUUUUCUGAGAGUAAGGGGGCGGGAAAUGGAUAACGCUAGAGACUGGAUAGUCAACAAAAAUACCUGGCGGAUUCAAUCACGGCGUGCAUUGUGGGAGUUGUAGUGUUAAUUAAUGGCCCCAACGUUCAGUGUUGAUGAGGUGACUGGCGUAGGCGAACUACAAACACACUCAGAGGAACUGGAGCUGUAGGUCAGUGCAGUCAACAGAACGCACCAGUCCUCGCCACUUUCACCAGCACAUUUCAGAAAACAGAAAACAACAAACUCCGACAGGGAGGGGGUUCAAAUAUUGCACCUUCAUUAGCCUACUUGAUUGCCUUGAAUGAUAUUACAGAAUGUAGUCUGUGUACGCCAGUCCUCUUUCUGUAGCUCUACGUUAACGACAGCACGAGCUCAGAGAGUCUUGUUGUUGUAGCCUACUAGCAAACUGGUAGUUGUUCCGACAUUAAUAUAUCAGAAAAUAUGACAAGGCUGCUUAAAGUGUUAUGUACUGUGAGAGACAUAAGCGUGCAGUGGGUAGGCUUCUUCGUUUGCAGCCUGUUAUUCCCAACAUUACAUGGGUUGUAAUGUCAUUUUACAAUACAUCUUUGUGAAAGUUCCUGGGAAGGGAGAGAAAAAAAAAAGAAACAAUCCACGAGCGAAACAUUCAGAGACUUUGUGGCCAUAGCUAGCAGUCUGCGUUGGGUUUAAGGCAACGAAAUUCAACUUCGUUUUAAAACGUUUGUUGUAAUAUCGACAUUUGUUUUAAAGGAUACAUCACAAGUGGUAGGCUACAACCACUGUCCGCCUCCCCCACUAAACGAAACCAAAAUCAAACCAAAAUAAAAACGCUUAAAUAACUUUGCUGCAAAAAUAAAAGUCAAUUUGUCUUAGACUUUGUACAAUUUCAUAAAGUAUCUGUAUUCGCAUUAACCACAGAGUCAAAAGGCUACAAUAGCUCUCGUCCAAGCCCCUAAACUCGCCAGGGCUUGUUUGCUACAGAACUGUCCGUUUAAGGCUUGCUCCAAGUCCGCUUGUCUGCUCACCAGUCCCGAAAACCCCGAGCCGAAGAUCGAGAUGAGGUUGGAAAUGUUCGACGUGUCUAAGGGCUCCGUGCACGCGUAUGAAGAGUCCUCGAAUUUCGCUCUUUUGUACGGCGUAAAAUCCGGUACCUCCUCGAUCUCGGACACGUAGUACCCAAAGUCAAGCUUGCGUUUCUUGGCCGGGCUCUGCGCGCCCUGGCAGCACUGUUGGAGCGAAGCGCAGCAGUCCUGAUGCAAAUACCCGUUCUCUACUGUGGUAACGACAUGCGUGUCCAAAUCGAGCACUGUAGUUUUGUUGCAGUGCAUGUUGUUUACCGGCGAAAAGUCACAGUUGGACACGGGAUAGGCUUCCGCGCAGCAGCUGCGGUAGAACGAGGGGUCCGGCGAUUUGCAGACCUCUUCGUUUUGGAGAGCUAGGGGCACCGAGCAGGCGCUGCUGGGCUGGAUGUGCUGCACCGAAGGAGCCUGGUGACUGACGGGCAGGAGCGCGCCGCAGAGGCUCGCCGACUCGUUCGCGCUGCCGCAGCAGUCCCCAGUCUGCUCCUCGCAGUCCUCCACCAGAUCGAGCGGGUUCAGCUCCUGGAUCUCGUUGCAGACGGUCAUCACCUCCUCGUACUGCUGCAUCCUGUAGAUUUCGGCGUACUUCUCGUUCAUGUAGACUUGCCUGGCGUUCCUCAGUACAUAGGAGACCAGCAGGUUUUUGUGCAGCUUGAUUCCUCCUCUCUGCGUGCGGGAGUUGUGGAUUUUCCGUAAAGAUAUCGAGAUGAGACUUUGUGCAUCCACUGCACACUCCAUGGAACUGAUCAUGGUCGGGCUCGUGAUCUCUGUGGAAAAACAUUGAACGCGGUCGCUCCUGCCUCGAUGUGUGAGCGUAGGCAAUCAUUAGCUUGCGUUUGCUGCCAUAGUAUAUAUAUGGCGAAGAACUUUCCGCCCACUUUGGCUCCGGCCAAUAAGGGACUGAAAAUAUCGUUGAGUGACAAGCAAAUCCCACCCAGAAGUUUUGAUCUCGUCCAAUCACAGAGAGGCGGUUCUUCUGUGCUAUUCAAAUUCCAAAC